AUCGAAAAUUGUUCGGAUUCUAUCCUUAGUCUUGCCAUAAAUUCUGUUACAAAUUUUAGAAUGCAUACUGCGAGAACAAAUUCGCAAAAAACAGUCUCGUUAUUAUACCCGGAACAACGUAUAUUAAGUUUUUCAUUAUUUUUCCAUAGAUGUCGUUGUUUAUCUGUAUCUCGCGUUGUAUAAGUUCGAUCGGGUUCGGCUAGAUGGUGUUAGAAAGAUGACAUUUCGUACUAAAAAAGCUUUUCUGACAAUUUUAUGAUUAAUUGAUUCAGUUUUGUUUGAGCGCUCGUCAAAGAUGGACACUAGCAAACAGAAAAUAACUAUAUUUUACAGUCUUUCUUCGAUAAAGGCGAAAACGCUGAAAUGUGAAUAGUUUAUGGUCCUGAUACUGCAACAGCCAAUCAUGCGCAAUUUUAGUUUCGUCGAUUCCGUUUCGGUAAUUUCGAUGUCAAAGAUGCAUCACGCUUUGGGAGACCAAUUAUCGAAAAAAUCGAUCGAAUAAUUUAAAUCGCCGAGUCCAAACAUCGAUUACGAUUGUCCAGGACAUAAACAUUGCACAAAAAACCGUUUGGAAUCAUUUGAAUAAGGCUGGAAACGAAAAGUAAUAAUUAAAGCAUUUCAUGCAAAAAUAAUGGAUUUUAUUUUACUACACCUAAUAUAUAUAUAUAUGAUCAGCGUGACGAGCUGCGUUGAUUUAGCAAUGUCCGUCUGUCUGUAUUUACGCAAAAUAGUCCCUAAUUUUUUGAGACAUCGCUCUGAAAUCUUGCAGCCAUCCUUUUCUUCCCAAGAAGCCGCUCAUUUUUCGGCACCGCCGAUAUCGGGCCACUAUAGUAUCUUCACAAAAUUUAGCAGGGAUUAUUGUCUAAGGCAACGAAGAAAUUUUUUGAGUGGCACGCGGUCAACGGCUAUCAAAGUGUCCUUUUUACAGAUGAAGCAAUUUUCACUGCUGAAGAAAUUUUUAAUAAUCAAAACAACAAAAUCUACGCUAAAACUUGCAAAUAAGUAAAAAAGGCAAAAAAUGUUAUGCCAAGAGUUCAACGUGGUCACCAUCCAUAUGCUGCAAUGGUUUGGUAAGGAGUCUCCUGUAAAGACGUUACAUCUCUUCACUUCUGUGAAAAGGUGGUUUAAACUGAAGUAAAAGUUUACCAGCAAGAUGUUUUAGAAGCAAGAUUCUGCUCCAGCACACAAGGCAAAAACCAACCAGCAGUGGCUUAUAAGCAAUAUUUUUGGUUUAUUAGCUGCAGAUGUUUAGCGGUCUGGAAGCGCAGAUUGGAAUCGAUUGGACUACAGUUUGUAGUUAGAGAACAUGGCCUGUGGAAUACCUUACAGAAUUUAGGAGAGUCUCAAAACAUCUUUCUUUCAAGCAUCGUCGUCAAUACCACUAGAAACUGUGCGUGCUGUUAUCGAUUAAUGACCGAAUCGUAGAAGGCUUGUGUGAAACAUUCAAUUAAAAUUUGCUCUAUUAAAUAAAAUAAACCUUAUUAAAAAAUGUAUAAUAAUUUCAAUUUUAUAACGACCUGAUCUUGUAACAGAACUAAUGGCAAGAUUAAGUAUACGAGUAUGGUCUCGGAAUAAAAUUUUCGAUGUACAUAUAAAUCUCGGAAUCUGCUGCACAAUAAUUCUGGAGUCCAAUUAAUUGUAUCACAUUUUGGAAUAAAAUUGCGCGUAGUUGGAAAUCGAAUCGGUAGAAUAUGAGCCACUUUUGGAAGACGCAACGAACUUUUGAAAGAUACUACAUAUAUUUACUACAAUAAUGGUCGUAGCUGCAUGUAGAAGGCGACAGUGCAUUAACGUUUCGAUAACAAUAAAAUACUAUAGCUGGAUUGUUUGAAAAAGUUAAAAAAGUUUUAAGUAGAAUUCAAAAUUGGACCUUGAUUACUUUUCAUAGAUUUAAAAGUACAUACAUAUGUAUAUAAGUAUAUGCACAUAAAGCAGCUAGCUGUCAGCUGAAAAGCAAUCAACAACUUUGACACAACUUUUACUAUAGAACUUUGCGAGUGCAUAAAUACUCACAUAAACAUAUGUAUGAUAAAAAACAAACAAACAAAACAAUAAAAAAAACCAAAGCUUUCUGUACUCGUGCUUUGAAAGUGAAAAGCGAAGAAUUGCAAAACUUUCACUUACGACAAGCUGACUUUGAAAAUUUCUUAUUGCCAUUCAAACUUAUUUCAUGAAAGUCGUGUCGAAGUCAUGAAUGACGGAUGAUCUACUAUAGACUACCUCUAUUUGCAUAUGGGUAUGUGGAGUGCGAGCACUACUUGUAUAAGUAUAUUAACUGCAGAACGUUACGCGUAAGGCUUAAUAAACACAUGAGAUUUCGUCGCUCUUCAUUGCAAUGGUUAAGCAGGGUUUCUCUGGGCUUUGCUGCAAUAAUGAGACUGAUGAUGCACUAAGUAUUUUGGAAAAAAGUUCGAAGAAGCUCAGUAGAACAGCUAAACUACAGCAAAGUUUUUAUGGACACCGCGUAGACAUGCUUCUUGAUAUAAUUUAUUGCUGAGUUUGGGUCUACCACAUAUAAUUAAUAAUUUAAAAAAUAUUAUAAUUUGUUUUAGAAUUUACAUUUUUUCGAGUUCAUUCAAAUCAAAAAGUAAUAUUUUCAAUUUUUAAUCCCAAACAUAUGAAGUCCUCUUCCCCAAGUGAAGUGAUCUGCUAGCUACUUAAUAUUUUAGUUUUAAUUGCAUUUCAAUUCAUCAAGCUUUAUUGCAAUAUUAUCUUCGAAAAAUAUUUUCACCGUCUUAUCGGACGACCGUCUUGCUUGCAGAUGAAUGAUUAAAGUAUGCGCGCGCCCAUAAAAUACCGUCAUGACGUUGAAAUAACAAUGAAAAUUCCAAGCAACAACAAAACCAAUUUGCGAAACAAUCAAAGGUGCAACGCAACUCAAAAGCAACCACAAACACGCAAGGACAAUGAACGUAAGUAAGAACGCCGCCCACAAAGGUCACGUGCUACAGAAAGCGAACAAAUGCCAAACCAUAGAUAUAUACACAGGGGGAGAGAAAACAAUUUAAUACGCACCUGUUGCAGUUGUUAUUGUUUGACUUGAAAUAAUUCUAUGUAUUUAUGUAAAUGUAUAGGAGUGCAUUGGCGAAAAGCAACAGGUCCUUUAAUGAGAGUAAUAAAACAGAAAAAUAAAUAUGUCACAUGUCUCAUAGGAAGAGCGCCACAAAAUUAUUGUUACAAAAAAAAUAAAGUUAUAUUAAUGGAAACCAA